AACAGCUCAAAUUUGAAAUCCGGCCCCCCCCCGGGGCCCGAGUUGUAAUUUGCAGAGGGUGUUUCGGGCGCGGCGCGGGUCUAAGUUCCUUGGAACAGGACGUCGGAGAGGGUGAGAAUCCCGUACGCGACCCGCAACCGAGCCCGUGUGAAACCCCUUCGACGAGUCGAGUUGUUUGGGAAUGCAGCUCAAAAUGGGUGGUAAAUUUCAUCUAAAGCUAAAUACCGGCCAGAGACCGAUAGCGCACAAGUAGAGUGAUCGAAAGAUGAAAAGCACUUUGGAAAGAGAGUCAAACAGUACGUGAAAUUGUUGAAAGGGAAGCGCUUGCGGCCAGACCUGCCCCCGGGCGAUCAGCCGCUAUUCGUAGCGGUGCACUCGCCUCGGGAACAGGCCAGCAUCGGUUCGGGCGGCGGGAGAAAGUGCCCGGGAACGUAGCUUCCUCCGGGGAGUCUUAUAGCCCGGGCUGCCAUGCCGCCCGCCCGGACCGAGGACCGCGCCUUCGGCUAGGAUGCUGGCGUAAUGGCCGUAAGCGACCCGUCUUGAAACACGGACCAAGGAGUCUAACAUCCAUGCGAGUGUUUGGGUGUGAAACCCACGCGCGGAAUGAAAGUGAACGGAGGUGGGACCCCGGAAGGGUGCACCAUCGACCGAUCCAGAAGUCUUCGGAUGGAUUUGAGUACGAGCAUGGCUGUUGGGACCCGAAAGAUGGUGAACUAUGCGUGGAUAGGGUGAAGCCAGAGGAAACUCUGGUGGAGGCUCGCAGCGGUUCUGACGUGCAAAUCGAUCGUCAAAUCUGCGCAUAGGGGCGAAAGACUAAUCGAACCAUCUAGUAGCU
rnacentral:rRNA from 1 species